GUCCCAGGCCAAUAGGCCCAGUUGCUUUCGGCACGGAGAUUAAGAAAGUCAAUUUUUGGUAGGUAAAUGGUGUGGUCCACCAACAAUUAAUGUUUUAAGUGUUCUCUUAUUUUCCUUAAUCACAUUUGUUCAAUUAAUCGAAUUCAGCAACAAUCAAAUGCUUAACAGAAACUGAGAAAUCAAACUUUCAAUUAAUCGAAUCUGCAACAAUCAGCAACAAUCGAAAUUUAGCAACAAUCAAAAUGCUUCAAUUAAUCGAAUCUGCAAAUGAAGACGAAAAUGAGAGAGAGAGAAACUUUCAGCAAAUGAAGACGAAAAUGAGGGAGAGAGAAACUUUCAGCAAAUGAAGACGAAAAUGAGAGAGAGAAACUUUCAGCAAAGUUUCUACCAAAUCAAAAUGAAGACGAAUCUACAAUCAAAAUGAAAUCGAAUCUACAGCAAUCAAACUUUCAGAAACUUUCUACCAAAUCAAAAACCCUAAAUCAAGAGCUUAGAGGCGGCGGUGGAGACGGAGAACGGCGGCGGUGGGGGUUCCGAACCGUCCACCGACAAAGGAGAGGCGGCGGCGGCACAGCAGGGGCUGUAGUCUUGAGGCGGCGGCGGAUCUGUGUGGCCGGAGCUCUGGAGAGUCAGUGGCGCCGCUCGUUGUUGAGAGAGAGAGAAGGGGGAGGGGGCGGCGGUGACGGAAGAGCGGCGAAGACCGGAAGAGAGAAGAGAGAAGAGAAGGAGAGCAGCGGAGGCCGCCAUGGCCGGGAGAGGGGAGAAGGAGAGCAGCGGAGGCGGUGGAAAUGACGGCGGCGGUGAGGGUGAUCGUGGUGGUGGUCGACGGUCGAAGAUGGAAUGUGGGUGAGAGAGAGGGUGAAGACGAGAAGAGAGAAGAGAGAAGAGAGAAGAGAGAUGCAAGAUAGAAAGAGAAAGAAGGAGUGAAUGAUUU